UUCACCACAACCACCGCCGCUGCCGCCGCCGCUGCAGCAGCCACCCGGCCCCGGGGGGAGCAGGCACGGAUAAUUCAAUAACACAGUCAUGAAGGGAAGGAAGAAGAACGCAGGGCAGUGGGGGAAGGGAAAGAGAGGCAAGCUCGGAACUCAAGUGUCUUCGACUCCCCCCAACCCCAGCCACCGCACUCCUCCAGGGUUGGGCUCCCCGCAGCGCCACUUUCCCCCACCCCCUCUCUUCCCCACCCCCUCCUCCCCCGCAGUCCCCCAUCAGGGAGGGAUGGCCUAGAAGAGGGGGGAAGGGGUCUGGGAGGUGAGAGGACCGCGGUGUUUUUUCUGUACCAAUGUAUUCCCGAAGCUGGGCAGGAGGGACAGGGAAAGGACUGAUAUCUCUGCUUCUAUUCUCCUUCGGGUUGCGAGCUCCUUUGACCCCAGUUUUGGAAAGCUAAAAAUAAGAAAAACGACAGGAAUAACGACUUCAGCAAUGUUUUUGAGGCAAAGAGGAACUUGGUCACCUGAAUUAUACAAACCGAUAAAAUGAUUCAGUUAUUUGACUAGCUUUCUGCCUCGCUCAACUCAAAUAUACAAUGGCCAAGGCCUAAAGAGAGAUUAAAAAAAAAAACAAGACCUGAAUAAUGUAAACGAGAAAUCGAGUAAAAGUAACUUCAACAUCUUGUCCGAAUCACGGGGUACAGAGUGACUUGUAUGGGCGUCAUUAGCUCUUAAAAUGUCUGAAGGUCCUUGAGAUUAGAUACGAAGCUAAGAGGGGAAGAAUGGAAUGCAAAGAGCUCAGUGGGUCUUUCUAUCUACUGGACUUGACUUCUAGUCCUGGCUCUGCGAUAGCCGGGUCAAAACGCUGUCCGGUUCCGGAAGGCAGAUCUUUUUUCUCUAUUUCUUAAUCUGGGAUUUCAAAGACAAUGGAGACCCUUAAAAUCAAUGAAUAAAUCAGAAAAGUGUAGGAGAUGGCCUGGCCACUCCAUUUUUUUGAUGUCUGCUGGGACCGUGUGGUAAAGUAGGUAAUAAGCCCUCCAGUAUGUGUAAAGGGAGACAGGAACAUUAUAGGUUUUUUCCUUCCUCCUGAACAACAAGGUCAAGAUUAGAGGGAUCUAGACAGCUGCGAUCUGAGCCUUCUUAUUGUGUCUGAUAUUCUCCUGCUUCUCUCUUGCUCAACAUAAGCAAAGAUACCGGCAUGUGGGAUUUUACUUUUAAAGAAAAAUAUUUUUAGGGGGCCUAGGAGAGUCCUUUAGUAAAAUUUCUUUUAAUGGGUGGCUGGUUUUCUUUCCUCCUGUGAACCGAUGCCCAGGAUUCCCUGCUUUUCCAAUCACAACUUCGUCCUUGGUUUUGCCCACGUAGCCAGUCAAAGGCUGAAGAGGAAUGAGAACCGCCAGAGUUGGUAUCGAUUUUUCCGUUCUACCUGAGAACUCUCACUCCCUGAAACUGGCUUUCAAGAAUAGAGGCCCUCUUUGCCUGGGCUCAGAAACCGAAAGGGACGAGCAUCCCCUCAGGGCUUCGGGUGUAGGAGAGACCGACACCCGGGAUUCAUCCGCCGCCUUAGGAUGGCUUCUGCCUGCCUCCACUGGUGCUGCGUCCUUUCCACCCCCCAGUCCCUGGCUCUUCUCUCCUAGAAAGAAGACUUGGUACAGAGAGGCACGAGCCUUCUUUGCCAGCUUCCCGGAGGUGCGGGUCUGGGCGAUAUCAUGCCUAAGCUAGGUUAGCCAAAGGUUUGGAAGAAGCGCCAGUUCCCCAGAUGGGAACCUGCAGAGAGGGAGGAGCGGCAGCCCAAAGACGGCUAUUCCGGAGAAAAGAACCUGGACCGGAAGAAAACGCGGAACAAAUGGUUCUGUCUUCCACUUUGAUUUCGGGAGCAAAUGAAAUGUGCCUGCGCCCGCGCUAACUCGGAGAAGGGCUGUCAACACAAAUGCAGUGCCUGUAUAUACCUGACUCCGCAUGGCUCACACCACGUAUAAACAAGGCUCAGGCGUUGUAAAGACACUCCGUAUUUCAGGACAUUCAUGUUUCUAAUGUAAGCCAGGGGCUUUGCGAGGGACCUUGGCCGAUCAUCUUAACCCUCUCCCUUCCGCAGCAGGGCCUGUGGCAAGGACGAGAUAAGCGGAGAACAGAACGGGAAGGAAAAAAUGCUGAAUCUGGGGUAGGAGUCUUAGUAGUGGGAGACUGGACCGUCUGGAUGAGACGGGGAAGAGAAAAGGAAGAAGGGACGGAGGAGAGCCGUGGGGAGGGUUUCUUGGGUUGAGGAGAGCAGGACAAAACCGAACCCAAAGUCAGUACCUCAAACGAGAGCCAUACUUUGCACUGAUUUUCACAAAAUUAAGAACUGUAUGCCCCCACCUCCAACCCACCCAUUCUCAGGCAAAUCUGGGUAAGAGAGAAACUCAAAAUUGCCUUGCUUUCUUUCCAUCACAGGAAAGGGAAAAUUUCUAGUGUAAACAGACGAUUAUUAACGGUAUUCUGCCGGCAAGUACGGCAAGUCUCCGGCGUCACAAACUACAGAAACCUCAGAAAGAUAGGAAUCCAGCGGGUGGGGGCCCUAAAGCCAGGCUCUAACUUGGGACAUACCCCAUACACACUUCCCAUUAUCCCCCUGUUUUCCAAUUCCUAUUUCCUUUCCCAAUAAAUAUAACAAGGGACACCGUCUUCUGCAUUUUCCUAGCGCCUUUGAUCCUUCGUCCAGGAAGGAGAUGGUCUGUUGACGUUGAGGACAUAGUCUCAGCCCCAAAGAAGGCUGAGGAUGUAGGUAGGUACUGGAAAGCAAAGGACAUCGACUAGGCAAGGAGUAUCUACGGAGAUUUAGUCUACAACAUCUAAGGAGCUCUGAAGCCUAGACUCUUAGGCUAUUAAGGCCACCUUAUGCCACCGAGGGCUACUUGGCAAGAGUCUUACACUCAGUUGGGCCAACUUUCUGGGACAAAGGCUAUUCAGAAUGUCUGCCUAGCUCAGGAUCAGAGAAGUCACUUCCAAGGAUCGGCAAAUACAGUCUUCAGACAUACUGAAGAAUGUCAAUGAUAGUGACAAUACCUGGGAAGCCAAUUGCAUCUUUCCUGAACCCUUGUGCUAGCUAAGGAGAAAGGAUUCAGAAUGUCAGAAGAAGUGAUGUACUCUUCUCUGCCUUGCCAAGAAGAACACCUUGGAUUCAGGCACUCUCAGCAACCUCCCUCUUCCCACUUUUAUAAAAACUGGGCAGGAAUUUCUGAGGCCCCCCUGCCUCUUGGCCUGCCACAGCCUGACUACUGUGAGCUGGGGUUCCCUGGAGGUAGCCUUAAAUGGUCCACUCCAUGCCACAAACUCUUGGCGACAAGCAUGUAGUAACAGAAAACAGGAAUUAAAGGUUCCAAGGCUCAGGCAAACGGCACCCCAUCCAUCUCUGCCUGACAGAAAGUCCUUUGUCCUCUUCCUAUCUUCAACUCCAAGGUCCUAAUUCCUCAUAAGGAAGGCUCAGCAACCUGAGAGAUCUUUCCUGGCUCCUUGAGGUGGCUCUUGAGACCUCUUCCUCACUAUCCAGUCACAGUCAGGAAAAUACAGAAGGGAAAAGAGCUGAAGAAAGAAGGGGAAAGGAGGCUCAAUUCCAUUUCCAGAAUGCAUGGAACAGGAGGGCAUCCCAAUCCAAGAAAGAGUUGGAGAAGGUUGGGUGCAGGGAGGGCUUGCUCCUUUCGGCUCUGGCUCAUUCCCACCUAAACUGAUGCCUUUAGAGCCCUGGUCACAGGGACUAGUCUUUCCCCCAGUGGAUUCCUCAAGGACGUUUAGGAAUCAAAGAAAAGGGAGAGAGAGAGAGAGAGAGAGAGAGAGAGAGAGAGAGAGAGAGAGAGAGAGAGAGAGAGAGAGAGAGAGAGAGAGGAGAUGGGUGAGAGCCCUCUCAACUCCUCAUCUGUACAAUCUAUCUCACCAGGGAAUAGAUGGAAACGUGCAUUUUCCUUGAACUCAAAAAUAGAACCACAAACGUGGCCCUGAUCUCGUGUAUUCAGAAAAUCAUGAUUCUCCAGGCACUGUUAGUAAAUUAAUUGAAGACUUUCUCCUUGGGCCUAUUAAGGAUGGGGGUGGGGUGAGAUAAAGGAAAAGGAAAGAAAUUUCGAGGAAGGAAUGGUCUAACUUGGCACCCGCGCCCCACCCCAUGCGUUCUGCUAGUAGGGGAUGUGAGAGCUGGCGUGCAUCUGCGGGCACGCCGUUCGCAGCAGUUAAGAACCCUCUCCAUUGAAUAAUAACGGGACUCUCCAGCCUUGAACUAGUCUAUGAAAUUCUCCAUGUAGAAAGAAACUGAGGGAAAUGCACUAAUGGGGCCACGUCCAAGUUGAAUGUAUGAUCUUUUCAAUUAUGCACCAAGGUGUGAUCACGGAUUUAUGGGCACAUUAUAUGUUUGCAGUAAUGAAGUGUUCGUGCUCACACGCACGAAACACACACACACACACACACACACACACGCUUCAUUUACCCACAGUGGAAUAGCCCAAGAUUGCGGCAUGAAUGAAUUCAACCCUCUAGGCCCGGUACAAGACAGAUCUCUUCGCCAGCGGCCGAACUGGUUGGGUCACAUAUUUGGCCGACAGGGCUCAGAGCUCGCUCAGACAGAGCCUGGCUUGUCCCAGGGCUUCUCUCACCUUCCGCUCCGCCAGUACACCUGUCCUGCUCUAAAGGAGAGCGGCCGGCUUCGGCCUUACCUGUUUUGGGGCAGGCGCUCGCCGAGCCAACCAUCCCUCCCGUUCUCUCUCCUGCCUUUCUUUCCUCCUCAGAGCUCGUUCUGGCUCUCUCCCUCUUCUCUAGGGCGCUCGCUGCCGAGCUGCUUCCCGCUAAAGCUGCCCUUUGUACACCUUCUCGUGGCCCUGCUCUGUCUCCUGGAAAAGGGGACCCGAGGAGAGCCAUAAAAAUAACCUUUCGAUAUUCGCUUUUAUGGCUAUUUACACCCGGCUCGGCGCUAGAGGAAGCUCUGACGCUUCAUUCAUUAGUCAACCCCACAGCCUCGGGUUUUUGAUGCUCGCUUUAUAGGUUGAGAAGUCCACGGAACGAUGAGAAAUCCUCGCCUGCCGGGCACGGCACCGCAGCCAUGGUGGGAGGAGAGGCAAGUGAAGAGGGCGAUGUGGGACUCCUUUCUUCUCGGCUUUCCAAUGAAACGCUCGACUCCAGGAGCUGGGUGAAGGGGACCCGUUUUUGUCUGAGCCGGUGGAGAGGGAGGAUUUCUCCCCUUCCGAAUCGGCCUUAAUUUGUGAUCGCCCAGAAAAUGUGAGGAAGCGCUUCUUGAAAGGAAAGAACCUUUCACGGUGAUUAAAGCCAUGCCCCAGUCCUCUUGAUGCCCUCGGCGCAAAUGUGGUCAGCUAUCCCACACCGAAGGAUCAUUUCCUCACUUGGAGACCUGUGCCCCGCUUGCCACGCAUAUUCACAGGCGCACUCAGUCUCCCUCCAAAACGUUAAAAGCCAAGGACACUUACUGUAUGAAUAAUCAUUUAGAGGGAUGGGGGCAGGGGGGGCAGGGCGUUUUCCCUAAGAACACCCUUCCAAACCUCCAGAAGCAAUUGGUUUUAUUCAAAUACCCAGCUUCCCUUUUACUUCACCGUUCUUGGAGAAGAUAAGCCGGUUCGGCCAAUGGUGACGGAGUUCAUUACCGGCCCUAAUCCUCUGGCUGGGACCCUUCCCCAGCAACCAUAGAUGGGGGAUUUGAAAAGGCAGUUUCGAAAACAGGAAGAGGAAGAAAACUCCAGUAAAGAACUCUAAUCUAAAUCCCCCGGCUGGGCCAAGUGUCACCCCCACCUCCAGUGAAUGCGGUUAUUUAUUCCUCGUAUUCCAGCGUGUGGGAUUGUUUCGAACGUCCUCUGUUUGUGGUGCUUUAAUUACUUUUUUCCUGAUGUCUUGUUAAAUAGUUGGCUGAGCUGAUGCUAAAUAUGCAAUCGCUUAAAGGCACUUGAAUGGGGCUGGUGCUUGCAAAUUGUGAGUCUGUAAAUUAAGCAACAGUAGACAUUAUGGGCACAGAUUUCGUAUAAAUAUCUCUAACAACUCCAGCUCUAAUGGGUGUAAACUCCAGAGAGGCUCUGCUGCCUCCUCUGUCCUGGGAGCCUGGCACUCAGUCUCCAGUCCUUCAGCUACCUCAACUGGGCUCAAAUGAGACUGGGGGGGGGGGA